AGGCAUUGUGCAACAGUCCUGAGCGCUGAGAAGUCUGACGUUACGUUUUGAACAUGGAUGUGACUUUUUGGGAAGUGUAUAAACCCUUCAACCCACUUCCCAGCUUUGACAAUGAUGGGCCAAUGUCCGGCUUGAGCAAGCUAAAAUGGGCCUGUGGGGGUGAUCCUGAAGAAGUUCAGGAAGGCCUGAGAAAGGUGGCUGCAUGCUAGCAAAUGGAGUCCCUUCUGCUGUGUGCGAGGCACUGAGAGAGGUGUUGAAGUCACAGAAAUGGGUAAAAUGGAUCCUGACUGCAAGAAAAUCACAAUCUGGUAGGGCAAGCUGGCUUGUAAGUGACUAAUGCCAAAGUGGAUUUUGAAAAUCAAUAAGUCCUUUGCAGUGCUGCCAAAAGCCAGCAAACGUGCCAAGUCAUAAACUGUCAGAGGAGUAACUACAGGAAGGCUGCCAGGUCCGAGGCGGCUGCCUGGCCGCCUGGCUGCCACUGACCUCGUGGCGGUGUGGAGCUGGAGCCGGAGCCGUAAAUCUUCACCUUGUCGCUGCUGCAGGGUGACUUGGCUUCGCGGGCAGCAUACGGAGGACCCUAGAUCUGCCUCUUCCUUUUCUAUGUGGACCCAGCACAUGGAGGAUACUGAAUGGAAAGUUCCAGAUUGUGGGACUGACAGAAUUGCAUGUGAAAAGAUGGAUGACCCAAGCAGAAACUAACUGCUAACAUGAUUGCAUUUUGUUGACACAGGGUUAAAAAGUGAGUAGUUUUAUGAAAAUAAAUCUAUUAUUUUGUCUGAGUAUAAAAUGAUACAUACUCAUGUAGAGAAUUCAUGCAAAACAAAAAUACAUAAAAGAAAUAACCUUCAAUUCCACCCCUCAGAAGUAACCACUGUUAAAAUUCUUUUGUCAUCCUUCCUAGUCCUAUUCACUCACCUAAUUAACCAAAGUUCCUCCUGGUUUUUAUAGAGUUUAAAUUUUAGUAGGGGAUGCAAACCAAAAAAGCAGGACAAACUAGAUCCAUGUUUUGUAGCAAUAAUAUGUAAUAAAGAUCUUUUUAUAUCAAUGAGUCAUCUAUAUUACCUUUUAAAUUGCUGUAUACUAUUCCACAUUAUGCAUGUCUCAUAUUUCUUUUAACCGAGCAAUGACUGAUGGUCUCCAAUAUUUUCUUGGACUAUUAAGUAGGGCAACAACUGUCAACCUUCCUUACAAUUCUAUUUUAAGCAUCUAAAAUAAUUGACCUUUAAUUUAUUAGUUUUUUAUUUAUUAACAUUUUAAGCAUCUUUGUACACAGCACAGUCACUGCUUAAUAAAUGUUUAAGUGAAUGACUGUGGUGAUGAACACGCUUGGAUUCAUGAGAUUCAUUUAUCUCCUUAGGCUAUGUUAAUACUUCCCUUCACUGACAUUUUUAAUCACCCAGAUCUCGGAGCCUUGUUCACUAUUUACCUUCUGCUUAGAACACUCUUCUCUAAGGCCCACCCCACACAGCUCUGUUGAUUCCUGUUAAUCCUUUGUGGCAGUUUCAACGUCCCCUCAUCUUUCUGAGCACUCCUCCUUACUCUGAGCUUACAUGAUUUUAAGGUCCUUGAGAAUAAGAAUAGCUUCAUCUUGUUUACUAUCACUCUUAAAAAGUUUCACAAAAUUCAUGUUUCUUAACUCAUAUAUAAAGUUUUAAAUUUUCUCUUGGAUUUUGGGAAGCCCUUAUCAAUUUCCUUAAGGCCUUCAUCAGUUAUGGGGUGACUUGGCUCACGACCAUUUCAAUAGGUACAUGGUUGUAAGUACAGUGAAUUAUUCGUUUUUGCCGUUUAGAAUUUAAGUAAUGUCCCUUAUAUGUUAAAGAAAGUAAAGAUUAUAAUUACUAUUUUAAAAAGAGAAAAUAUUAUUUCACCUCACCUCUACACCUUCUUACUACACACAUGCUAAAAACUACCUUUCAGCACUUAAUUUUCUAAGCUACUUAUUUUUGCUUAGUACAAACAUCUUAUCUGCAAGUCCAGUAGGACUACAUGAACACGUGUUUAAAACAGUGCCCACCAACGAAAAGGGGUGCCAUCUUGAGAUUUAACUUAUAACUUUUGGACAUAACAUCAAAACCCAAAGAUGAUUCCUAGUCCAUUAUUUCCGAAGAGGCAAACAAAAAUCACAAAAUAAUGUCGAUCAAAAACCAGCGUCUUCUCUGCUGGCCUCGGCCCUCUACCUGCUUUACAAAGGCGUAGCACGCAAUUAGCCGCAAGAAGAAUCCAGGCUUUGGAAAGCGUUUCCUUAGAAAUGCUGUUCGCAUACUGGACUGGCUGAGCCCAGAUAGAGGCUCCAUUGUAACUGCCCGAAACGGGAGAAAACUCCAGGGACUGCCACAGAAACACAUUUUGGGGAAGCUGAAGUUACAGGCUUUCUCUUGCACUAGUCAAUUUGAGGAAAAAAAAAAAAUUCUUUCUCGACUGAGCAAACUUCCUAUGAAGGUAACCGAGGAAAAUCUGGCUUUAGAAAGUAGUGACUCUCUCCUAGGUUGAAGAUUAGUGAGCACCUGUCAAAAUCAAGAAUCUAAACAAAAAGGCUGUCAUAUGUGACUCCAACAGGUUAGCUUCUCAGGAUUUUUAAAUAAACUGACAGCCACCCAGCCGAUUAUGUGAAAACUGAAGCGACACUUCUAUUCAGCAAGAUGGGAAGGCAUCCGGUAUACUGAGGCCCACCUUGUGCCGGGGACUGGGCGGGGGCCCCCAAUAACCUUAUCUCCUGACUGCACCACACCCCGGGGCCAUCUCUGAAACCCGCCAGGGUUGGUAUG